UUUUCCUACGGGACGCAGCAGUGGGGGAUAUUGCACAAUGGGGGAAGCCCUGAUGCAGCGACGCCGCGUGGGUGAAGAAGCGCCUCGGCGCGUAAAUCCCUGUCAGCAGGGAAGAAAAUGACGGUACCUGAAGAAGAAGCCCCGGCUAACUACGUGCCAGCAGCCGCGGUAAUACGUAGGGGGCAAGCGUUAUCCGGAUUUACUGGGUGUAAAGGGGGCGCAGACGGCGAUGCGAGCCAGGAGUGCAAGCCCGGGGCCCAACCCCGGGACUGCUCUUGGAACUGCGUGGCUAGAGUGCAGGAGGG
rnacentral:rRNA from 1 species